GCAAUCAGUCUCUGGGACGGGGGUCUAGUGAAACAACGCUCUAUUUGUCCCUCCGCCCCCUCCGGAGUGUUUCCGUGGUGUUCGGGCAAGUUUAGGAUUCCAUUCACAUGGCGCCUGUUUGGAAGGUCAAGCCAAGAAAUGCUGGACACGUUGGCAUUUUUAUUUUCAGUGAGAGAAAAGAGAGUGCAAAGAGAGGAAAGAAAGCCAUACGGGUUUGGAACGACAUGAGGAGCAGGAAGGAAACAGUGAGCAAACAAAAAGCAAAGAGAAGAUACUGUUCAAAGAGAAGGGCCGAUACGAACCGAGCGCACAC